GAGGAAACGAAAAGAGGGGUGUCCGGAUAAGUUAACUGACAUGACUUACCAAAGCAGCUGAGGUCAGUACUUGUUAAAUGUGCAGUGAGAAGAGAAAGCUCUAGUAAGAAAGAGAUGUUAUCGAGUGGUUCAGCUGAUGAAGACGACGCCAUGAUGAUCCAAGGACCGGAUGUAGGCAACCGUUGUCGGCUGCUCCAGGACCUAUCGUGAAAGACAGCAUCUGGACAGUGAGGCUGAUGUCCGAAACAGCGAGUAGGAUGAGUUUGGUUGCAUCUCAAACUGGCGUCACUUAGUCGUCCAUCGCAAUAUGGUUUCUUGCAACUGUUGUGCAAAUAAAUCAGAAAACUAUAUUUAACACCUUA